GCCCUGAGCUGUCAGCCCUGAGCCCAAUCUUGUGAACCACAAGAUCAUGAACUGAGCCGAAGUCGGAUGCUUGACCAACUAACUGAGCCACCCAGGUGCCCUUAACUCAUUUAUUCUUAUAACUGGUUGAAGAAAGGUACAGGGAAUGACUCCGCAUUUACAAAUUUUACUAAAAGCACAGAAAGGCAGAGUAAUUGGCUCAAGGACACACAGCUGUUUGGCAGUAGAGCCAAGGUUUGAACUCAGGCAGUGCGGUAUGUGGAGUCCACACUCCAGACCACCAUAUGACGCUGCAUCUCACGCUAAGAUAGCCAGUAAUCAAAGGCGUCAACCUAGGUACUUAUGACCUAACAAAGUGAGGGCAUUACAACAUGUGACUCCUCCCCCCACCUCCCACCUCACCUCACUAAGUAGCUUCAGAGAUAACCCACUGGAGACUGAUACUCACCUCCCAUCUGUCUUUUAUCCUUGCCGGGGUCAGCAGGGUUGUUACAUGGCCUAGGAUGUGCUGGGGCUCAUGGAUCAAGAAAGAGUUCCUGAGGGGCAUUGAGCAAGUGUCCUGGAACACUGGUCAGUAAUUUCUGCGUAUGUGGUUGAAAUCGAAAGCCUCUUUAGGAGCGACUUCAUUCCUGAAGAAUCUGUGCCAUUCUCUUUUACCACGAUGUAGGCUUUGGGGAGGAAAGGCUCUGGGGAGGCCGAGCUUAUAAGGAGCUACACUUCCUGUUACUUUAAGCAACUGAGAACACCAGGAAGAGCAUGGUCCUUUGGUUUGGCUCCGGCUACCAUGGGCAAGAGGGGCCUUGGCCCAGACUGUCUGAAUCCCUCAGUGGGGCAAGAUUUUCAUUUUGAGGCCAAGCAUUUGGAGACUGGCUUCCACCUUUCGGCUCUCUAAUGAUGCCAGAGGCAGAAAGGACACAGCUUGACUCUCGAAUUCCAGCGUUCGUCCAUUUCAGGGAUGAGCAGAAAGAAAAAAAAGAGAAAAGAAAGAAAAGAAAAAGCCCUUCGGCUCACAAAGUAAGAAUCUUUGAAAUGAAAGUUCUGCAGAGAGUAAAUAUGAAGCGCCACAAUGCCAUCUCUGGAGCCACAUUUCAGAGCACAAGGGCAAUUCCACUAUGUAACGGAAGGUUGAGAGAUUUCAUGUUCCUUAAUUAAAACAUAUCUCGGGAGCCAGUGGGAGGCACCUGCACAGCCCCUACCUGAAGAUGCCGAUUUACAGAAAAACUUCCAGCCGUGGGAUUCAUACAAGGGACACGCUGGCAAUUGUGAGUUUCUUUUCAAAUCGGCCUCUGUCUGUCAUACCUAUGUAGUUACAAAAUCAAAAGGGAUAAUAAAGUUCAAUUGUAUAUUCA